CGGGGAGCUGAGCUGAGGUGAAAUGAACAGGUCAGGCUGUAUUUCAAUGAGAAAGACCUUGGAUGAGAUCCAGUCGUGAGACCUGGGUGGAAAAUGAGAACCAGUCCCUCAGACUAACAUGCAGCCAGCAGCGAAGCUCCAGUCACCAGUGGAAACUCUCAGACAAUGACAUGAACCCCCAUCAAUGGCCGCCUACAAGUUCAAACGGGUACCAUUCAGGCUAACCUGCAUCUACCCAAAGAUGUCAGUCCUCUUGGAACUUCAACUCUUAAACGCUGGCACACUGUAAGAGUGAGUCCUGGAGAAUCCCAGCUUCAAGGCAACCUCAGGCAAAGGAAAGCAUCACACAGGAG
rnacentral:lncRNA from 1 species